GAUGAACGCUAGCUACAGGCUUAACACAUGCAAGUCGAGGGACCGGCGCACGGGUGAGUAACACGUAUCCAACCUGCCCUUUACUCGGGGAUAGCCUUUCGCAAGAAAGAUUAAUACCCGAUAUAAAGGAUGGGGAUGCGUUCGAUUAGGUUGUUGGUGAGGUAACGGCCCACCAAGCCUUCGAUGGAUAGGGGUUCUGAGAGGAAGGUCCCGCACAUUGAAACUGGGAAACGGGCCAAACUCCUACGGGAGGAAGCAGUGAGGAAUAGAGGUAAAUGGGCGGUAGCCUGAACCAGCCAAGUAGCGUGAAGGAUGAAGGCUUAUGGGUCGUAAACUUCUUUUAUAUAAGAAUAUGUAUUAUAUGAAUAAGGAUCGGCUAACUCCGUGCCAGCAGCCGCGGUAAUAC
rnacentral:rRNA from 1 species